rnacentral:rRNA from 1 species
CCUACGGGAGGCAGCAGUGAGGAAUAUUGGUCAAUGGACGCAAGUCUGAACCAGCCAUGCCGCGUGCAGGAAGACGGCGCUAUGAGUUGUAAACUGCUUUUGUACGAGGGUAAACGCAGAUACGCGUAUCGGUCUGAAAGUAACGUACGAAGAAGGAGCGGCUAACUCCGUGCCAGAAGCCGCGGUAAUACGGAGGAUUCAAGCGUUAUCCGGAUUUAUGGGGGUUAAAGGGUGCGUAGGCGGGCGGAUAAGUUAGAGGGGAAAUCCCGAGGCUCACCUUCGGAAUUGCCUCUGAUACUGUUCGGCUAGUGCGUAUUUGCGGUAGGCGGCAUGUCUGUUGUAUCGG